UGGAUACCCUAUCUACUAAAAUUGGAAAGGUACAGAGAUGUAGCAUGGUCCCUGAGCAAGGAUGAAAUGCAAAUUCACAAAGUGUGGUGUGUCCUA
ensembl:snRNA Gm24178 predicted gene, 24178